rnacentral:lncRNA from 1 species
GCAGUGAGCUGAGACUGCGACAUUGCACUCCAGCCUGGGCGACAGAGCAAGACUCUGUCUCAAAAAAAAAGAAAAAGAAAACUUGUUUCACAUCUAUUUCAUUGAAUUGUGUGUACACGCACACACACACACGUUUAUUUGUAAAUAUUUUGUAUGUGCCAAUAACCAAAUUGACAAAGUUUCAUAUAUUUUGUUGUAUAAUUUUAACAUCAUCCAAGGAAACAAUCCACUGUGCUUACAGUUUUGGAACUUCUAAAUCUUUAAAUACAAACUGUAUUUGAAACACUGAAAAUGAAAAAAAGACACAAGAAUGAAAGAGAAAACUGAAAACAUUAGGUAAUUAAAACCAACAUGAGAAAAACUUAAACAUUUCAAUGAAAUAAAGCUAAAUUCAUAAAGCAUGAACAUAGCAGUAGUUCUCAUUUUGCUCACAGUUCUAAAAAUGCAAAUUCUCCCCAACUUCUUAGAGCAUGACAGGUUUUCAGCUGGCAAUCUUUCCAUGUUUACAUAAGAAGCUAGAAUUGAUCAUAUGGUUUUACAGUGC